rnacentral:rRNA from 1 species
AUUGAACGCUGGCGGCAUGCCUUACACAUGCAAGUCGAACGGCAGCACGGGUGCUUGCACCUGGUGGCGAGUGGCGAACGGGUGAGUAAUACAUCGGAACGUACCUUAUCGUGGGGGAUAACGCAGCGAAAGCUGUGCUAAUACCGCAUACGCCCUGAGGGGGAAAGCGGGGGAUCGCAAGACCUCGCGCGAUUAGAGCGGCCGAUGCCUGAUUAGCUUGUUGGGGGGGUAAAAGCCCACCAAGGCGACGAUCAGUAGCUGGUCUGAGAGGACGAUCAGCCACACUGGGACUGAGACACGGCCCAGACUCCUACGGGAGGCAGCAGUGGGGAAUUUUGGACAAUGGGGGCAACCCUGAUCCAGCAAUGCCGCGUGAGUGAAGAAGGCCUUCGGGUUGUAAAGCUCUUUUGUCAGGGAAGAAACACCGGCUCUAACACAGUCCGGGAAUGACGGUACCUGAAGAAGAAGCCCCGGCUAACUUCGUGCCAGCCGCCGCCGUAA